GCAAACUUGGUCAUUUAGAGGAAGUAAAAGUCGUAACAAGGUCUCCGUUGGUGAACCAGCGGAGGGAUCAUUACCGAGUUUACAACUCCCAAACCCCAAUGUGAACGUUACCAAUCUGUUGCCUCGGCGGGAUCUCUUGCCCCGGGCGCGUCGCAGCCCCGGAUCCCAUGGCGCCCGCCGGAGGACCAACCAAACUCUUUUUUUCUCUCCGUCGCGGCUCCGUCGCGGCUCUGUUUUAUUUUUGCUCUGAGCCUUUCUCGGCGACCCUAGCGGGCGUCUCGAAAAUGAAUCAAAACUUUCAACAACGGAUCUCUUGGUUCUGGCAUCGAUGAAGAACGCAGC
rnacentral:misc_RNA from 1 species